rnacentral:rRNA from 1 species
AACGAACGCUGGCGGCAUGCCUAACACAUGCAAGUCGAACGAUACCUUCGGGUCUAGUGGCGCACGGGUGCGUAACGCGUCGGAACCUUCCCUUAGGUUCGGACUAACUCUCCGAAAGGGGUGCUAAUACGGGACAAUUUCUUCGGACCAAAGAUUUAUCUCCUUUGGAGGGGUCCGCGUUGGAUUUGCUAGUUGGUAGGGUAAAAGCCCACCAAGGCUAAGUUGCAUAGCUGGUCUGGGAGCAUGACCAGCCACACUGGGACUGAGACACGGCCCAGACUCCUACGGGAGGAAGCAGUGGGGAAUAUUGGACAAUGGGCGAAAGACGGAGCCAGCAAGGCCGCGUGAGUGAUGAAGGCGUUAGGGUUGUAAAGCUCUGUUACCCGGGAUGAUAAUGACGGUACCGGGAGAAUAAGCUCCGGCUAACUCCGUG